GCGAGAUUGGUGGAAUUGGCAGACACGCUAGACUUAGGAUCUAGUGCCUAGGCGUGAGAGUUCAAGUCUCUCAUCUCGCA
rnacentral:tRNA from 1 species